rnacentral:rRNA from 1 species
AGUCAAGUAAUUAAGUGCAUGUGGUGGAUGCCUUGGCAGUCAGAGGCGAUGAAAGACGUGAUAGCCUGCGAAAAGCUCCGGGGAGGCGGCAAAUAUCCUUUGAUCCGGAGAUGUCUGAAUGGGGGAACCCACCUACUUUAAGGUAGGUAUUGCAACAUGAAUACAUAGUGUUGCAAGGCGAACGAGGGGAAGUGAAACAUCUCAGUACCCUUAGGAA